GCCCGGGCGGGCCGAGGCGGGGCUGGGGCGGGGCCGCGCGCGCGCGCUCCGGGGCUGCGCGGGGCUGGGGCGGGCGCGAAGGGUACGGGCCGGGGGCUUAGGAGGACUGGCCGCUUGCGCGGGCCGGGCCGAGCGCGCUAGGAAGGCCGGGCCGGACCGGGCUCAGAAUCCGCCGCCGCCGCCGCCGCUCCUCAGACGUCACAUGAUGUUUGGUCACGUGGGUUCCAUUCAUGAAGCGGCGACGCGGCUGGCCUAAGCUUAAAGGGAAAGGCGAGGCGGCAGCAAGGCGAGCGCGCCCCCAUCACGCCUGCGCACCCCCGCGCCGUCGCCCCUGGCAACGCCCGCCGCGCCCUGGCAACGUCUCGCGGGAGUAGUCCCCGCGCUCGCCGGGCUGGGCAGGCUCCUGCCGAGUCAGUUUCUCGGGGCUGGUGUCUGUUUCGGGUCCCCAACUCGGGUGCAUCUGGCUCCCUCCAGAUCUCCAACUCAGACUGAGGUCUUUGGAACAGAACCUGAAUGUGAUACAGUGGUUUAACUCCUUACCCCGUGCUGCUGCGGUGUCCUCAUUCUAAAUGGGUCUACGGGCUGAAAAGGACGCCACUGCCGAGGGGUACAGCCCCGACCCCAGCUCAGAUCCCCAAAAUAUCCAAGAUGACACGAGGGCUUGGAGGACGCUCACUGGUGACUAAUCUCGAGAGGGUGCUAGGGGCUCACCUGCAGCCGUGGACCAUCUCUUUGGAUAGUGUGCAUACCCUGGAAGAGUUGUGUACUUUUCCCAACCCUUUUCUGCCGCAUUUAAAACUACUUUGGGUGCAUUAUGCUGCUAUUUUUUCUGUAAGAAGACUUCCCGCUGCUGUUGAAAAAGUAAAAGAAGGAAA